GAUGAACGCUGGCGGCGUGCCUAAUACAUGCAAGUCGAGCGAACAGACGAGGAGCUUGCUCCUCUGACGUUAGCGGCGGACGGGUGAGUAACACGUGGAUAACCUACCUAUAAGACUGGGAUAACUUCGGGAAACCGGCGCUAAUACCGGAUAACAUGUUGAACCGCAUGGUUCAACAGUGAAAGACGGUCUUGCUGUCACUUAUAGAUGGAUCCGCGCCGCAUUAGCUAGUUGGUAAGGUAACGGCUUACCAAGGCAACGAUGCGUAGCCGACCUGAGAGGGUGAUCGGCCACACUGGAACUGAGACACGGUCCAGACUCCUACGGGAGGCAGCAGUAGGGAAUCUUCCGCAAUGGGCGAAAGCCUGACGGAGCAACGCCGCGUGAGUGAAGAAGGUCUUCGGAUCGUAAAACUCUGUUAUUAGGGAAGAACAAAUGUGUAAGUAACUAUGCACGUCUUGACGGUACCUAAUCAGAAAGCCACGGCUAACUACGUG
rnacentral:rRNA from 1 species